rnacentral:rRNA from 1 species
UACGUAGGUGGCAAGCGUUGUCCGGAAUUAUUGGGCGUAAAGCGCGCGCAGGCGGUCUCUUAAGUCUGAUGUGAAAGCCCACGGCUCAACCGUGGAGGGUCAUUGGAAACUGGGGGACUUGAGUACUGGAGAGGAGAGUGGAAUUCCAUGUGUAGCGGUGAAAUGCGUAGAUAUAUGGAGGAACACCAGUGGCGAAGGCGGCUCUCGGGCCAGUAACUGACGCUGAGGCGCGAAAGCGUGGGGAGCAAACAGG